rnacentral:lncRNA from 1 species
GGUGAAGCAACACUAGUAUUACAAACGCCAAAUAAGACAAACACCCUCUCUCAACAAAGAUACAAGCUUGAAGAAAAGAUAUAACUCUCUUGGGCCUCGAAUAAAGCAUACCCUUCCAAGCUAUACUAGGCAACUUGGUGAAGCAUAAGUCACGAUCAUAGUAUAAUAAUCUAGGAUAGCAUAGUAAGGAUCUAACCAAUCCACUCUUUAUAUAAUGGCAAAAUCUACCAUAUCUAAGACAAGUAGAUCUAAUCAAGUCUCAUGCUAAAAAAUAGUCACAACACAAGAUCAAUA